rnacentral:sRNA from 1 species
GCUGGGCGUGGUGGCUCACGCCUGUAAUUCCAGCACUUUGGGAGGCCGAGGUGGGUGGAUCACCUGAGGUCAGGAGUUUGAGACCAGCCUGACCAACAUGGUGAAACCCCAUCUCUA